GCCGGGCACGGUGGCCUGUGUCUGUAGUCCCAGCUACUCGGAGGCUGAGGUGGGAGGAUCGCUUGAGCCCAGGAGUUCUGGGCUGUAGUGUGCUAUGCCGAUAGGGUGUCUGCACUAAGUUCGGCAUCAAAAUGGUGACCUCCUGGGAGCAGGGGACCACCAGGUUGCCUAAGGAGUGAGAAACUGGCCCAGGUCAUAAACAGAGCAGGUCAAAACUCCCCUGCUGAUUAGUAGUGGGAUCUGUCUCUGAAUAGCCACGGCACUCCAGCCUGGGCAACAUAGUGAGACCCUGUCUCU
rnacentral:SRP_RNA from 1 species